UUUUAGCCCUGAUGGAAGUGGAAAUCCCAUCUCGUCUUUUGGGACGUGAUGGAUUGUAGCGAACAGCAGGAAAUAUG
rnacentral:sRNA from 1 species